UUCAAUUUUUCCGGCACGUUUGCGUUGUCAUGGUAACCAUGGCGGCGUUCUAUAUUUGCCAGAGCUCUUUGCACACUGUCCGUGAUUUGAUUUCAAGCUGAACAGUUCGAUAAGUACCCAUUUAUACGGCCUUGGUACCCAUAACCUAGGUGAAGAAAUCGUUCAGAAUUUCUAGAGUGAUAUAUUAAAAUUUAACAGUUUGAUUGGUGACUGGAAAAAUAUUGUGAUUCCGUUUCAUUCAUGGUGAAGCGAGGCGGAAGAGAUCAUGAGUGAAGACUUCAACGAGACUCUCAUCGAGGCCGUAAGAAAAAACGCCAGUCUCUGGGACAAACGGUCCAAACAUUAUAUGAAGAAGAAGUCGGCGAAGGAACUCGACUGGCGAAAUGUGGCUGAGGAGUGCCAGGCUGACGCUCAACGUCUUCGCUCGCCUUGCGACCUGAUGCAUGCACCAAUCUCCGAGCAAACCCAGCCAUAACCGCGCCUGCUCCUGCAUCCGUCAAUGAGAACCAAUCCUUCAUUUAUGUUGACGAUGGGAACCAACUUAUUGAGGUUGAGCUACAGAACAAACAGGAGAGCGGUUCGUCUUUGAUCAACGUGACACGGGAGCUCGCGCGCUUAGACGGAGACACACAGCACGAAGAAGACGACACACAGUUCACACAUUACCCAAACACAGAGACAGCACACGGAGAUUUCGAAAGUUCACACGACAGCACACAGACCCCAACAACAUCUGUCCUUAGUAAUGACCAGGCCACGACACAUAACACUCCAGUCUGUACCACCUCGCAGCGGGGAUCCAAAAGAAAAUCACCUACUCAGGAUAUUGAUGCAGUUAUCUUAGAAGAACUGUCAAAGGGGCGAAGCAGGGAACAAGAUAGAGAUUACACAUUCUGCAUGAACUUGUACGCAGAGCUGAAGCACCGAAGCGAUGUGACGAAAAGAAUCAUUAAGCGUAUCGUCAUGGAAACACUCGACCGUCACCAUGAGUGAUCGCUGUCUUGCGAACCUGCAUGUGUCCAUUGUUGCAGCAUCAGUUGUUGAUCAGUUGUAGGUAGGUGUCGGUUAGGUAUAUUUAUGUUUUGAAUGUUGUCCCAAUGUAUACAUUGGCUGUUAUGCUAUGUUUCAGCAGUGCCUGAAACAUUUUUGUGGUGUUUCAUUAUGAUGUUACCUCGAAUAAAUGGUUUUC
rnacentral:misc_RNA from 1 species